rnacentral:rRNA from 1 species
GAAUAUUGGACAAUGGGCGAAAGCCUGAUCCAGCCAUGCCGCGUGUGUGAAGAAGGUCUUCGGAUUGUAAAGCACUUUAAGUUGGGAGGCAGGGCAGUAAGCGAAUACCUUGCUGUUGUGACGUUGCCGACAGAAUAAGCACCGGCUACCUAUGUGCCAGCAGCGGCGGUAAUACAGAGGGUUCAAGCGUUAAGCGGAAGUACUGUGCGUUAAGCGCGCGUAGGUGUCUCGUUAGUUUGGAUGUUAAAUCCCCGGGCCAAACCUGGUAACUGCGUCCCAAACUGGCGCGCUAGCGUAGGUCAGAGGGUGGUGGAAUUUCCUGUGUAGCGGUGAAAUACGUAGAUAUAGGAAGGAACACCAGUGGCGAAGGCGACCACCUGGGCUCAUACUGACACUGAGGUGCGAACGCGUGGGGAGCAAACAG